AUUGAACGCUGGCGGCAGGCCUAACACAUGCAAGUCGAACGAGUGGCGGACUGGUGAGUAAUGUCUGGGAAACUGCCUGAUGUAGGGGGAUAACUACUGGAAACGUUAGCUAAUACCGCAUACCAUCAGAUGUGCCCAGAUGGGAUUAGCUAGUGGGUGGGGUAACGGCUCACCAAGGCGACGAUCCCUAGCUGGUCUGAGAGGAUGACCAGCCACACUGGAACUGAGACACGGUCCUGACUCCUACGGGAGGCAGCAGUGGGGAAUAUUGAACAAUGGGCACAAGUCUGAUGCAGCCAUGCCGCGUGUAUGAAGAAGGCCUUCGGGUUGUAAAGUACUUUCAGCGGGGAGGCGUUACCCGAAGAAGAAGCCACGGCUAACUCCGUGCCAGCAGCCGCGGUAAUAC
rnacentral:rRNA from 1 species